GGUGAUCAUCAUGAGAGAAGUGAUUUUUUUUCUCACUCCUUUUGUGUAUCUCUAAAGUUCAUACUCAGAGCCUUGGACCUGAUAUUUCUGGAAAUUGGAAGACAGCUCACAUGAAAUUAGAAAAUUAUCCCAGCAUCAUCAAAUUGGGAAAACAUAGAGCCUAUAGGAGAUGAUACAUAAUAUCACUAUAAGAUUUUAAAGCAAGCAAACUAUGGAUACAAUGAACACCAAGAACAGCAUUGAAUGGAGAAUGAGCUCAGGGCAUGUAGCAGAGCCCCCUUCCACAACCACCACUUAGCAUCUGACAGAAUUGAAAGUCAGAACAAAGGGGCGAAAAGAGACCAACAGAACAUAAGACCUGACACGUCUGUGAAGAA